CUUUAAUAAGAGCUCACACCUGGCUGGUAGAAAGCUAUUCUUUCUGUUGUAUUCAAUGAUCAUUUUUUGCCCCCGCUGUUUGCCACGUGACCAAAAAUAAAUAAAUAAAAAAAUAAUCUGCCUAGUUACUUUUGCUUUACUGAAUUUUCUCUAGAAACUUUCUCUACCUGGCAGACGCAGCUGUAAUCCUUAUGGAUAGUGGAUAAGAGGGUGGUCCCACAGUACAAAUGCUCUCAUAAAAAUUUAUUUUCAAUAUGUUUCACCUAAAGCAGCUUCCUAUUGACUUCCUGUCUAUGGCAUAGCACCAGGCAGUGGUCGUUCAUUUUACUUUUGUGUUCUAAUUGCUACUUGCUAGUUGAAAAUUUGGCAGACAGUUUAUUUGAACACAAGAUGACGUGUGCAAGGUCAGGGAAGAAAGGAGGCUACAGAUGGGGUAUUGCUACAAGAAGAGAUGCAUUUGCAGAAGCUCACUUCAAGCCUAUUCAGAGGAGAGACACUUGAAAGGUGACAUACUCGUAUACAAACAGGGAGAAAUGGUGCUUAGAAGUUGUGAGCACUCAUUAUUAUUAUUAUUAUUAUUAUUAUUACUUCUGUCAAUAUAGGUGAAAGAAAAACUUCCUUUCAAGAUAUUUCCACAGCUCGGUACCGGAGACGUGUUGUAGUCAAGCCUGAGAACACUUAAGAAAAGAUUAGAAAGAAAACUGGAAAAGAGUGGCAAAGAGGACUUGAAGUUCUGGAGCUCCCAAGUCACCUCACUGCACGGAGAACUUCUCCGGGUCCCUCUCUGGAGCUGCCCGGUGGGAUUUAGGGUGCCUGUGUGUGCCUCUGGCCCCGCGCACGAUGCAUCCCCCGCUUAGUGGUGCCUCAGGCUCGCAAAGCAAGGUUUCUGUCACUGCCUCCUUCAGGAUUAGCUCUUCAUGCACCCGACGAGUCUUCCACUUUCCUUGGUUCUGCCUGCCUGGGAUUCAUCUCACCCUGCUUCUUUGUAAACGUUUUGAAAUCUCUUACAUUUUAAAACUAAAGUUUUUGGUCCAUGCAAAUGUACUUAAUCACUGUCUUGUUCUGGGACUGUCACAUCAAUUUUUUCACUUACAUAUACACCGUUAGCACUUUUUAUGACCUUAUAGUCCUAUCGAGCCUGUACUUCAGGUAUGGGUAUCUCUGUCAUAUCACUUUAGGGGCCUGUUAAUCUUAUAAUGAAUUCCCACCGUAAUCUCAAUUAAACGUGCGGACACCUCAGCUUUGCACGCUUGUCUAUGGAAAACGAAUGGUCUCUAUUAUUGCACGCUGACGGCUGAAGGUGCACCGCCUGCGUGUGGAGCCGUGGGCUGCUGGCUUAACCUUGAGAAAAAGGUGUCCUGGGGUGGGGAGGUGGUGCUGUGCACGAAGAAAUGUCCUCGUUUCCUUGGUUUUGGAGCAUUUCUGCUGCCAGAUGUGCAGGAGUGUUGGGGUGCCUGUGCCCCAGUCUUCGAGAAGCGGCUGACUGCCGAAGCGCAAAGCGAUGAGACCCCUGGGUCUUGGCGUGGAGAAUGUCCCAGCCUCGCCGCUGUGGCGGUGACAGCUGAGGGGCUGUGCUGGUGACCCCGCUGCUGGCAGUGGGGCUGUGCCACCGGGCUGCCGGCUCGCAGGACGCUCGUACCGACCAACAUCCCGGGGACCUGGAAAAAGCUUGGCGUUUUGCUGUACAACUCCGCAGCUUCUAACAGAAAUGGAGAGGGACAAGUUUAUUAGUACUUCACAACACUCCUCCUGUUAAUAUUUCGUACAAGUAAGUUCCUAGAAGGCCUAAAAGGAGUGUUUAAAUAAAUAAAUUACCGAGUUUUAGUUGCUAACA
ensembl:lncRNA